GACGAACCGUGCGAACGUUAUUCGGAAUCACUGGGCUUAAAGCGUGUGUAGGCGGAUUGGUAAGUACCUUGUGAAAUCCCACGGCUCAACCGUGGAACUGCUCGGUAUACUGCCUGUCUUGUGCAACCUAGGGGCGAGCGGAACAGAUGGUGGAGCGGUGAAAUGCGUAGAUAUCAUCUGGAACGCCAAUGGUGAAAACAGCUCGCUGGGGGUUUGCAGACGCUGAGACACGAAAGCCAGGGGAGCGAACGGGG
rnacentral:rRNA from 1 species